rnacentral:misc_RNA from 1 species
AACUAACGCUAUAUAAGUAUCAGUUUCUGUACUUUAUUGGUAUGCGAAACUUCCAAAGUCUCUGCUUUGGCAAUAUUUUGGGAGCGCGGAAGCGCUGC